UGCAAAGGCCUAGGGAGAUUGGAAGGC
rnacentral:piRNA from 1 species